rnacentral:rRNA from 1 species
GCACAAGCGGUGGAGCAUGUGGUUUAAUUCGAUGAUACGCGAGGAACCUUACCAGGGCUUAAAUGUAGCAUGACCUUCCCCGAAAGGGGAAUUCUCUUCGGAGCAAAUUACAAGGUGCUGCAUGGUUGUCGUCAGCUCGUGCCGUGAGGUGUUAGGUUAAGUCCUGCAACGAGCGCAACCCCUAUCUUUAGUUGCCAGCGAUUCGGUCGGGGACUCUAAAGAGACUGCCAGCGCAAGCUGUGAGGAAGGUGGGGAUGACGUCAAAUCAUCACGGCCCUUACGUCCUGGGCUACACACGUGCUACAAUGGUAGAGACAGAAGGCAGCCACCUGGUGACAGGGAGCGAAUCCUAAAACUCUAUCUCAGUUCGGAUCGAAGUCUGCAACUCGACUUCGUGAAGCUGGAAUCGCUAGUAAUCGCGCAUCAGCCAUGGCGCGGUGAAUACGUUCCCGGGCCUUGUACACACCGCCCGUCAAGCCAUGGAAGCCGGGGGUACCUGAAGUCGGUAACCGCAAGGAGCUGCCUAGGGUAAAACUGGUAACUAGGGCUAAGUCGUAACAAGGUAACCGUA